rnacentral:sRNA from 1 species
UCCUAAAAAUAUGGUCCAGCCUGGACUAAAAAGGAAACCAACAAAAAAUCUUGGAAUUCGACAAUUUCAGUGGGGUACUACAAAAUAUUUUUGUGGGCCACAGGCUAUUCAACAUCAAAUAUUUUUGUAAUCACCCGUUUGGCACUAUAUUUAAUGAACCCAAGCUAGAGCUCAUAGGCAUGAACUCUUGGAGACAACAAUUUUAAUGCCACAGGAAAAUUUUUUUAGUGACCUUAAAAAAUGCCGAACUACAAAAAUCAUUCUCCCAUUACGCAUUAGAGUCAGCGUCACUUCUUACUUAAAGCAAUACAAUUUCUGUGGCUUCCACAAAAUGGAGGCCAUAUUCAAAAACAUGCCCAAGGAACCAAGUCGGAGAUCUUGGCAUAAUUCCUUGGAUGCAUCUAUGCAUUUACCUGAGUAACCACUGCUUUAAACCUUCGAGUAACGAGAACAUCUGAGGGGCAGACACGUUCAGAGAUAUCAAAAAUUCCAGACAUCAAUCAACGCCUCGAUGUCGCUGGUUUCACCGGCAUGC